GCCGAAGUGGUGGAACUGGUAGACACGCCAUCUUGAGGGGGUGGUGGGCUAUGCUCGUGGGGGUUCGAGUCCCCCCUUCGGCACCA
rnacentral:tRNA from 3 species